rnacentral:rRNA from 1 species
UACAGGGGGUGCAAGCGUUGUUCGGAAUUACUGGGCGUAAAGGGCGUGUAGGCGGUUUAGCAAGUCAGAUGUGAAAUCCCGGGGCUUAACUCCGGAAGUGCAUUUGAAACUGCUAGGCUAGAGUGCUGUAGAGGAUGGUGGAAUACCCAGUGGAGAGGUGAAAUUCGUAGAUAUUGGGUGGAACACCGGUGGCGAAGGCGACCAUCUGGGCAGCAACUGACGCUGAGGCGCGAGAGCGUGGGGAGCAAACAGG